UGCCGCGUGCAGGAUGAAGGCCUUCGGGUUGUAAACUGCUUUUGUACGGAACGAAAAGACUCUGGUUAAUACCUGGGGUCCAUGACGGUACCGUAAGAAUAAGCACCGGCUAACUACGUGCCACCAGCCGCGGUAAUACGUACGGUGCAAGCGUUAAUCGGAAUUACUGGGCGUAAAGCGUGCGCAGGCGGUUAUUUAAGACAGAUGUGAAAUCCCCGGGCUCAACCUGGGAACUGCAUUUGGGACUGUAUGGCUUGAGUACGGUAGAGGGGGAUGGAAUUCCGCGUGUAGCAAUGAAAUGCGUAUAUAUGCGGAGGAACAUCGAUGGCGAAGGCAAUCCCCUGGACCUGUACUGACUCUCAUGCACCAAAGCGUGGGGAGCAAACAGGAUUACAUACCCUGGUACUCCACGCCCUAAACGAUGUCAACUGGUUGUUGGGUCUUCACUGACUCAGUAACAAAGCUAACGCGUGAAGUUGACCGCCUGGGGAGUACAGCCGCACGGUUGAGACUCGAAGGAAUUGACGGGGACCCGCACAAGCGGUGGAUGAUGUGGUU
rnacentral:rRNA from 1 species